GCAAGUCGAACGGUAGCAGGUACUUCGGUAUGCUGACGAGUGGCGGACGGGUGAGUAACGCGUAGGAAUCUGCCUAUCUGUGGGGGAUACCGUUUGGAAACGAACGUUAAUACCGCAUAAUGUCUACGGACUAAAGGUGGCACUUCGGUGCUGUCGCGGAUGGAUGAGCCUGCGUUAGAUUAGCUAGUUGGUGAGGUAAUGGCUCACCAAGGCGACGAUCUAUAGCUGGUUUGAGAGGAUGAUC
rnacentral:rRNA from 1 species